AAAUAAUGCAGGCUUAGCAAUUUGAUGAUACCACAAACUGAAAAUAGGACUCCUCAACUAUUGUUGAAAUGAUGACACCACACACAUGCUGUCAUAAUUUUACAUUCCAGUGAAAAUUGAAGAGAUUGCUUCGCCAAAUUAGACAUGAACUGGACAACGUGUGACAUGCAUUCUAGUUUCAGGUCCCCAUGAUUCAAUUGUUACUUUGUUUGGAUCGAAUAGUGCAGGAAAUUGUUUCUUUAUCACCUUGUCAGAUUACAAUAACUUUCCAAACCAAGCAGGAAUCCAAUCCUCACACCCACAGUAAUCUCAGACUCUAGCACAUUACCUAAAAGCUAUGUUACAUGGACUCUUCUUAAUGUAUAAAGUACCCAUGGCAAACCUCGACGCAUAGGUUAAGAUACAGGAUAUAUGUUUGCAUUUUUACAUUACAGUAUCCAUUUUUGACACUAGAAAAUAGAAGUAUAACACUAACUAUACAUAUUUUGUCGUGUCCGCACAUCCAGGGGCUAGGAUUAGAUGAAUCAGACCCACUGGGACUCGACACCUGAACCUGAGUCUAGGUGGCACAUCAUAAAAGAAAGAAGAGGUGGACCCGAACGAAUUUCUUAAUAAUUGGUUUACGGAUAUAAGAUAUCUGAAAUAUCCAAACUCAUAGAUGGGAUUAACUCAAGUAUUAGAUUACUAGAUAUUGUUUUCCUCAUAAUGAGAUUCCGAUUUCCCUUUUCUACCAAAACAUAACCUAAAUUCAGGUCAAAUAUCAGCAUUGUUGGAACUCAUGAAUAAAUGUGAAACUACUAAAAGCCUCAUGGCAGUUCGGAAUAAUUUGAUUCGCAAAACUACGGGUUAGUCUUAGUUGGAAGAAAGAAACACUGGACAAAUCAGAUUAGAUGGAACAUGCGCACCAUCAGAAAAUUACAACGGAUAAAUUAAGAUCAAUAUAAAGCACUUCUAGAAGCCCAAUCAUUUUGCUCAACCAUUAAUUGACAUUUUUAUCACUACACAAUGAACAUUAUUGGUACAGCAGUAGAGCAGCAGCAAACGCAAGGACAAAACAUGCUCAUAGUGAAACAAGAGUAAAUGCCCAUGCAGUACACACAAGGAAAUGAGUUACAAAAGGUCGUCUAAAGACAAAGAUAUAAGUCACAAUGGGCUGUUGCUUGGUGCAACAAAAAGAGCACGUCACCUGGGGCAAAUAAUCCAGAGAUUUAAAUCUAGGCCCAAUCUAAACCUCCGAGGCUACCACCGCCCCGUCGAGGCAAGAGCAACACUGGGGAUAAAGGCAGAACCAUGUUUUGUUGCCCUACCUCACAUGCAUUUGGCAUGCUUAAUGCAGUUGAUGAUGCAUCUUACUCAUGCCUAAACUGAUAAAUGCAACAAGACAGGCCUUGAGCAAACAAAUGAAUUAAGAAAAGUGGGUUACCAUUACCUUCUUAUCAACACGUUACAUAAGAGGACUACCCUGUCACUGGGCAAAAGAGAAGUGACAACACCAGCAA